GACGAACGCUGGCGGCGUGCUUAACACAUGCAAGUCGAACGGAAAGGCCCUGCUUUUGUGGGGUGCUCGAGUGGCGAACGGGUGAGUAACACGUGAGUAACCUGCCCUUGACUUUGGGAUAACUUCAGGAAACUGGGGCUAAUACCGGAUAGGAGCUCCUGCUGCAUGGUGGGGGUUGGAAAGUUUCGGCGGUUGGGGAUGGACUCGCGGCUUAUCAGCUUGUUGGUGGGGUAGUGGCUUACCAAGGCUUUGACGGGUAGCCGGCCUGAGAGGGUGACCGGCCACAUUGGGACUGAGAUACGGCCCAGACUCCUACGGGAGGCAGCAGUGGGGAAUAUUGCACAAUGGGCGGAAGCCUGAUGCAGCAACGAAGCGUGCGGGAUGACGGCCUUCGGGUUGUAAACCGCUUUCGCCUGUGACGAAGCGUGAGUGACGGUAAUGGGUAAAGAAGCACCGGCUAACUACGUG
rnacentral:rRNA from 1 species